rnacentral:rRNA from 1 species
UACGAAGGGGGCUAGCGUUGCUCGGAAUCACUGGGCGUAAAGCGCUCGUAGGCGGUUUUUUAAGUCAGGGGUGAAAUCCUGGAGCUCAACUCCAGAACUGCCUUUGAUACUGGGAAGCUCGAGUCCGGGAGAGGUGAGUGGAACUCCGAGUGUAGAGGUGAAAUUCGUAGAUAUUCGGAAGAACACCAGUGGCGAAGGCGGCUCACUGGCCCGGUACUGACGCUGAGGUGCGAAAGCGUGGGGAGCAAACAGG